rnacentral:rRNA from 1 species
GACGAACGCUGGCGGCGUGCUUAACACAUGCAAGUCGAACGGAAGGGCCCUGCUUUUGUGGGGUGCUCGAGUGGCGAACGGGUGAGUAACACGUGAGUAACCUGCCCUUGACUUUGGGAUAACUUCAGGAAACUGGGGCUAAUACCGGAUAGGAGCUCCUGCUGCAUGGUGGGGGAUGGAGAGUUUCGGCGGUUGGGGAUGGACUCGCGGCUUAUCCGCUUGUUGGUGGGGUAGUGGCUUACCAAGGCUUUGACGGGUAGCCGGCCUGAGAGGGUGACCGGCCACCUGGGGACUGAGAGAGGGCCCAGACUCCUACGGGAGGCAGCAGUGGGGAAUAUUGCACAAUGGGCGGAAGCCUGAUGCAGCAACGCCGCGUGCGGGAUGACGGCCUUCGGGGUGUAAACCGCUUUCGCCUGUGACGAAGCGUGAGUGACGGUAAUGGGUAAAGAAGCACCGGCUAACUACGUG